UGGGGAAUAUUGCACAAUGGGCGAAAGCCUGAUGCAGCAACGCCGCGUGAGUGAUGAAGGCCUUCGGGUUGUAAAGCUCUGUCUUUUGGGACGAUAAUGACGGUACCAAAGGAGGAAGCCACGGCUAACUACGUGCCAGCAGCCGCGGUAAUACGUAGGUGGCAAGCGUUGUCCGGAUUUACUGGGCGUAAAGGAUGCGUAGGCGGAUUUUUAAGUGAGAUGUGAAAUACCCGGGCUUAACUUGGGUGCUGCAUUUCAAACUGGGAAUCUAGAGUGCGGGAGAGGAGAAAUGGAAUUCCUAGUGUAGCGGUGAAAAUGCGUAGAGAUUAGGAAGAACACCAGUGGCGAAAGGCGAUUCUCUGGACCGUAACUGACGCUGAGGCAUGAAAGCGUGGGUAGCAAACAGGAUUAGAUACCCUGGUAGUCCACGCCGUAAAACGAUGAGUACUAGGUGUAGGAGGUAUCGACCCCUUCUGUGCCGCAGUUAACACAAU
rnacentral:rRNA from 1 species